AUAAAGGCAUUAAAAAGGAGAAAGAUCUCCUGCCCAUUUAUUUCAUGAGUUGCUGGGGAAACUGCUCCCAGAGGGACCUGGGGGAUCUGUGCACUCUCUGCACUCAACUGGUGCCAUCCCCCUCCGUGUGCCACAGGGUGCUGCUGGGGAAGCUUCUGGAGUGUCCCUAGGGUACAGCCCAGUGCUGUUGCCCUCAGCAGUGACACACCCACCUCCUCCCUAAAUUGAGCUUCAGACCUCCUGAGCACGGGCCACAUCUGUUAGGGGCCACUGAAUUAUGCAGAAGGGGUUUUCCCUUUAUACUAGUGGGUUUAUUUUCCCAUACAUUUUCCCAUGCUGAUAGUUCCAUUUUCCCAGCAUGUCUGACUUGUGCCUUCUCAGUACCUCUGCAGGAACAGGAGCAGGAGCUAAACAUGUGCUUAAUUGCCUCACUUACAAACUGUUUAAAAUUCUUAGAUAAUUGAUGUCUGAUAGAUUGGUUUUUCUUGUCUGCUGAAACUAAAUUAGGCUAACACCAGCCAGGGGUGGCUGGUGAGUCAUUCUUCCAGUCCUGGGAAAGUCUGUGUUGGCAGAAUAUUCAACAACAACCAUCACCAAAUCCCGUGCUUCAGAAAGGGGCCACUUCUCAGGUUCUUGCCUUGUCUUCUGAACAUCACCUUAUCUUCUGACCAAGCUUCCUCCUUAGCCUGAGUUGGAUACAGAACCUGGCUCCUCUGGUUGCUUUUGCUGGACCUUUGCAUCGCCUGACUCUGUUCUGGCCCCAGCCACUUGGCCAGCACCAUGGCUCUGUGCUUUUCCUAGAAGUUCCUGAGUGCUAAGCCAUGGCUGGACCAGCUGGAGCACAAAGCCAAGUACUGUGCAAACUCAUCAGGAAAACUACUGAGCUGUUCUGUCAGGGAGUGCUGCCCACGUGGGUGAGAGGUGCUCAGAGGAGGUGGAGUGCCUUGAGAUAAAUUGCUCAUCCAGGAAGAAAGGCAGUAGGCUGGAAAGCUGAUUCCCUCACAUCAGCCUCUACCCUGCCUGGCAAGGCUCCAAGGAACAUCUGAGCCUUUUCUGACAUGAGCUGGGAGGAAGGCUCUGAAGCAAACCUGGGAAAGGCUACAUGAUGGCGAGCUUACUCAAUCCUGAAAACUGUAUCCAUGCCAAACAAGCUUCUUUCAGUUACAAGAAUUUGUGAGCUACACACUUCUCCCAUAAAACACCAGAGAUCUGUCUUCUGUGGGGCUUUGUUCCUCCUUUGACAGCUUACAGACCAUCAAGUUCUGCUUCUAAAUUAAGAGGUAUCUCAUUGCUUUUUAGUUGUACUGUAAAGUUCUUGAUGACUUCAGUAAUUAGUGUUUAUACUUCCCCAGGCCUGCGUAGAUGCACUUUAACAUUGCAUAAGGAGAUGAAGCACUCCACAACAGAGUAUGCAUUGCUCCCAGGAUUUCUAGUUUUACAUCCUCAAGUUUUGUAGAGCCUUGCUGAGGGAGUGUCCCCACAAACUGCAUCAUGGGUAACCUGGUGUAGUAAUUUUGAGUGGAUUUUGCAGCACAGAUGCAGAAAAAUAUUCACAGGAAGAUACCAGGAUCAUGUACAUCUCACUGCACCAAGGAACUUUUCAACUACAAACACUUGUUUGUUAGUGCUAUGAUCAACUGUCAAUUGUAGGACUUAAAAAAAAAUAAAUGUCUGAUUUGGCUGCCUUCAGCAUUUCUUUGUUAUCGACAACAUUUCUGUAAAAUGUUGGAUCAACUUCUAGAAACAUCAAAAUUCAUGCUAGAAAUUAAUUCCACCCUACUGGCAUCUGUUCCAGAUAUCCUUUGUGAUUGCCUGAUUAUUAUCCAAGGCUGGUUUCUGCUGAAGGUAUUACCUGCAGGUGCAAGUGCUGCAUUAAGCUGAGCAGGCACAGGGCUGUACACAUCUGUGCUGCCUCCUUUCCCUGGGAGAUGUGAAUCACUGCUGUGGUGGGCACAGCUGGUCUUCACACCACCCGUCCUGAUCAUCGACCACAGCCUCACCACACUGCCUAACCUGGGCUGUGGAGUUUCUCUUGUUUGGUUAAAUACCUCUUUAUACUUCCAUGGACUCCUUCCAAAUGAAACUCAAUUGAGUAGUUAAUAAUAUGGAGGGAGAGUUAAGCUUUUUAAGUUCUGCAUGCUUUUGUGCCAAUUAUUCCAUCAAAGACUGGCUCGCUUUGUUGCUACAGAGCUUCUCAGCGAGGCAUGACCUUGGUUUAUUAAAUAAUACAUGUAUUUCUGAGAGCAACUUAUGUAAGAGUAGGCCUAUCCAGCAAGUCUGAUGUUUGACCACUCAGUGUAUGAAAGCAAACACUGAAUAAAGAGUGCCCUGCUCAGUACCUGGGUAAGAGGGACAGGCAGCCUCACAGUGGCUGCACUUGUCUCUCAGCCACCAUUGCUGCCUUUACUAUUUCCUCUCAGGGUGCUGCAGCACAGUUUCCUUGCGGCCUCUUGGAUAUCUCAGCACAUGCUCAACACAUGGCUGGUGCAUCUGCUGGCUUAAUGCUGGCCUGGACUUUGCAGGGCAAACAAUAAAUUUCUGCCCCCAGAGAUGGCAACAGCACUGCCUCUUGUGCUGGUGUGAGCUGUACCCACCAGUAAGGAGCUAAUGGGAUCUGAAGUUCCUGCUCCUUCCUUCUCCACCUCCUCCUCCUCCCCUUCUCCCCUGGCUGGGGUUUGGGGCUGCACAGGCUGUCAGUGACACAGGGCAGGUGGUGCAGGCUGUCUUGGGGUACCUGCAACUUCUCUGAAACCACUUUCAUACCACACGCAGGGCAAUACAGUGAUCAGUCUCUCUGCUCCCUUUGGAGAAAAGCAAAUCUGUUAGCUUUAAAUCUCAGAAGUAAUUUUCA